AUUGCCCCAGUAACGGCGAGUGAAGCGGCAACAGCUCAAAUUUGAAAUCUGGCCCCUAGGGCCCGAGUUGUAAUUUGCAGAGGAUGCUUUUGGCGAGGUGCCUUCCGAGUUCCCUGGAACGGGACSCCAUAGAGGGUGAGAGCCCCGUCUGGUUGGAUACCGAGCCUCUGUAAAGCUCCUUCRACGAGUCGAGUAGUUUGGGAAUGCUGCUCUAAAUGGGAGGUAUAUGUCUUCUAAAGCUAAAUMCCGGCCAGAGACCGAUAGCGCACAAGUAGAGUGAUCGAAAGAUGAAAAGCACUUUGAAAAGAGGGUUAAAUAGUACGUGAAAUUGUUGAAAGGGAAGCGCUUAUGACCAGACUUGGACCCGGUGAAUCAUCCAGCGUUCUCGCUGGUGCACUUUGCCGGGCUCAGGCCAGCAUCAGUUUGUCUCGGGGGAUAAAGGCUUAGGGAAUGUGGCUCCUCCGGGAGUGUUAUAGCCCUUUGCACAAUACCCUGGGGCGGACUGAGGUUCGCGCAUCUGCAAGGAUGCUGGCGUAAUGGUCAUCAGCGACCCGUCUUGAAACACGGACCAAGGAGUCGUCUUCGUAUGCGAGUGUUCGGGUGUAAAACCCCUACGCGUAAUGAAAGUGAACGCAGGUGAGAGCUUCGGCGCAUCAUCGACCGAUCCUGAUGUUCUCGGAUGGAUUUGAGUAAGAGCAUACGGGGCCGGACCCGAAAGAAGGUGAACUAUGCCUGUAUAGGGUGAAGCCAGAGGAAACUCUGGUGGAGGCUCGCAGCGGUUCUGACGUGCAAAUCGAUCGUCAAAUAUGGGCAUGGGGGCGAAAGACUAAUCA
rnacentral:rRNA from 2 species